rnacentral:lncRNA from 1 species
CAGGAAAGAGGGAGCCCCACACACUUCUCUCCCGGAAGCGGACAUUCUGCCCCUGCACCGUGAAAACAUUCCCGCACUCUCUGAGCUGAGCAGCCGGCAGAGACAAAGGGGGCAAGCUGGGGAAGCCGAGGCUCGGCCAACUGCCUUACAGUAAAUUACUUCUCGUGGUUUGUUAGAGGAAUUUGACAUUCCAGGGGAGAGAAGCAAGCAAACUGGCCAAGGUGCAGAGAGACAUCUGAGUCUUAGUCCUCAGUUCUUAGGAGACGCUUACAGGUCAUACUUCCCACUCUGCUUUCCGCUACUAGAUGAUGGAGAUGAUGAGAUGACAUUGUGCCUACUCGCUUAACAGGAGAGGACAGAGGACUCCCUCCUCACCACUACUGUCAAAGGCAGAUCCCUCCCAAGACCAGAAUCGGAGUCCCACCCCUGGAGCAAGGAUUCUGAGGUUUCACGUCAGGGAGCAAAGCCGGCGGCAGCUCCAGCAAAAACCCAAGUGCUCCGAUCUCGCAGCUAGGCGGAGGGCAGGCCAAUAUCCCACCCACUCAAGAAUCACUUCUUUCCACUUGUCUGAGCAGAGUGGGAAGGAGGGCCUCCGGAAACCAGCUGGAAGGGAGUUGGCUGGGGCUCCACUAUCACUGAUUUAUGAAGGCUUUUCAGGGCCAGAAUGACACCAUGCACCUUCAACCUACCUCCUGCUAAUUUGUAUUCUCAGAGCUUUAAAUCACGGUGACAGCCCUGCAGGCGCUUUGACCAGUCGAGGGCUUCCGGGGCCCUGCGGGCUGGCACGCUGUUCCCUGCCCCCAUAGCGGGCCUUGCACUGCUCGCUGUACCCCAACCUGCUCCAAACCACACCCCAGCUCCUGCUGCUCUCCGGCUCUCUGCUCAGCCAGACAAUCAACAGAGCAGUGACUUUCUUUUCACUGAGAAGCUCCUUCAGCUGAAAAAAAUUACCAAAGUUAAAAAAAAAAAAAAGUAUUGACAUUAUGACUCAUCCUUACCUGGUAUUAUCGCUAAACUUCAAAGCAAACACCUGCUACCAUCAACAAAAUAAAUGCUGAGUUACUAAGGUACCUAAGUUCGUUUUCUAAACAGAUUUCACCACACCACUGAAAUCUUGCUAGGUUAAAGGAGUUUUCCAAUUGCCCGAAGCAUCUGAGUGCUCAUAAUUUCCACCCCACUUUUAGAGGCUAGACCAAACCUUUGAAGUCUACUGCCUCUUGAAAAAAAAAUUAAUAAUAAUAAUAAUAAUAAAAACCACAGCACGCUACAAAGCCUUAUUAUUUUUGAGGGCACCACACUAGCUUGCUCUACCAUAUGGUAGCCAAGGUAAAAGGCA